rnacentral:lncRNA from 1 species
GCCGGUGGAGUUGCAGCGGCUAGGGUUAGGGUUUUGAAAGGGGGAAGAAGAUGAAUAGUGGUUUGUUUAUAUAGGGGAGGGCCACACGGCCUAGGGCCACGCCCGUGUAAUCUGAAGGUGAGCCCGUGUUUUUCAAAUUUUGUGAUUUAGGUCGUGCCCGACUACUAUCCCACGCCCAUGUGUCUUGGGCGUGUGUGGUACACGGCCAUGUCGCACAGUCGUGCCUAGCUUUGUUCACUUCUCCCACGCCCGUGUGUUAGGGUACCAUGCCCGUGUAUUAUUGUCCACGGCUUAGACACCCCC